ACGGGGUGCAGCAGGCGCGAAAACUCCACACUGGGGGGAACCCCGAUGAGGGAAAUCCUAGUGCUAGGACAUUUGUUCUAGCUUUUCUCAAGCGUAGAUAACUUGAGGAAUAAGGGCUGGGUAAGAACGGGUGCCAGCCGCCGCGGUAAUACCUGCAGCCCAAGUGGUGGUCGAUUUUAUUGAGUCUAAAACGUUCGUAGCCGGUUUGGUAAAUCUUUGGGUAAAUCGGGAGGCUCAACUUUCCGACUUCCGAAGAGACUGCCAAACUUGGGACCGGGAGAGGCUAGAGGUACUUCUGGGGUAGGGGUAAAAUCCUGUAAUCCUAGAAGGACCACCGGUGGCGAAGGCGUCUAGCUAGAACGGAUCCGACGGUGAGGGACGAAGCCCUGGGUCGCAAACGGGAUUAGAUACCCCGGUAGUCCAGGGUGUAAACGCUGCCGACUUGGUGUUGGAGGCCCUUCGGGGGCAUUCAGUGCCGGAGAGAAGUUGUUAAGUCGGCUACUUGGGGAGUACGUCCGCAAGGAUAAAACUUAAAGGAAUUGGCGGGGGAGCAC
rnacentral:rRNA from 1 species